rnacentral:pre_miRNA from 1 species
AGUGGAAUAGCUGGAUCAAAUGGUGAUUCCUUUCCAAGUUUUCCAAGGAAUCUCCAUACUGCUUUCCAGAGUGGUUGCACCAAUUUGCAGUCCCACCAGUAAU